rnacentral:rRNA from 1 species
AUUGAACGCUGGCGGCAGGCUUAACACAUGCAAGUCGAGCGGGGGAAGGUAGCUUGCUACCGGACCUAGCGGCGGACGGGUGAGUAAUGCUUAGGAAUCUGCCUAUUAGUGGGGGACAACAUCUCGAAAGGGAUGCUAAUACCGCAUACGUCCUACGGGAGAAAGCAGGGGAUCUUCGGACCUUGCGCUAAUAGAUGAGCCUAAGUCAGAUUAGCUAGUUGGUGGGGUAAAGGCCUACCAAGGCGACGAUCUGUAGCGGGUCUGAGAGGAUGAUCCGCCACACUGGGACUGAGACACGGCCCAGACUCCUACGGGAGGCAGCAGCGGGGAAUAUUGGACAAUGGGGGGAACCCUGAUCCAGCCAUGCCGCGUGUGUGAAGAAGGCCUUAUGGUUGUAAAGCACUUUAAGCGAGGAGGAGGCUACUUUAGUUAAUACCUAGAGAUAGUGGACGUUACUCGCAGAACAAGCACCGGCUAACUCUGUGCCAGCCGCCGCAGUAA